CUGGUGACUUCAACUCGACCCGCUUACAAGCUGAAAUCGCUCCUUCUGGGGACAACCCGCAAGUGUUUAUGAGGUAAGUGACUGUGAAAUUGUGUUGGUUUUCUGAGAUUUCUGACGUGAUGCGUCUGCAGAUCAACUGACUCUGAAGAGAAAAAUGUGAGGGUUUUGGAUCUCCAACCAACACUCUGUUUGUUUUGGAAGCAAAUGUACAAGAAAAUAUUGAGUGAACCAAUCUGAAGGUCUUCAAAUUGCAGAGUUGAAUCAUGUUAGAGGUUGAUGAUGAACAAUUUCUACAGGAAAACUUAAAGCCCUAGCUGAUUCUCUGCCUUCAGAAAAUAUGCAGUUCUCGGCAUUCUAAAAAGAUCUGAACCAUCCAAAUAAAAUUGCCUGGUAUAGGAUAAACCAUUGCAGCUAGGGUAAGUUUUCUUACCAUUUUCACAACUGACGGUCACUGGCUUACUGCUGCUAUCCAUGGCGGUAGGAAAUAUUCUGCCAGAAAAACCUCUUCAGUCUUCAUAGGUACAAAUCAAAGCAAAGCAAUUACUCCAAUCCCAGGCAAUAAGAAAACCCAAAAAAAGGGGUUGAAUUUCGAACUUAAAAACAGUCGAGGGCAUUUGUUUCUUUGGGACAAAGGGCGAAGAACAUUUGGGCGAUGAUGCUUUGGUUUAUAGACGCUCGACGUGGUUACUCUCAGGUGCGGCCCAGAAGCAAUUUGAAAGCCUCUUCUUGCAAUUGGAAUUUGGAUGUAUGAGUUAUUUACAUUUUACUGUGUGUUGUCAAAAUGCUUGAGGUUUUGAAAAUUACACCAACUUCUCCUGAAGUCUCAAAUUAUUCUCAUUAAAUCCGAUUUUGUUAAUUUUUCGUACAAAAGUUAAUGAUUUUAUAUAUAAUAAAGCUUACGCAAAUAACAAAUUUAAUUUCGGUUUGAUUAAAAGAAUAGCUUGUAAAAGGCUUGAAACUUAAGUGGUUAAGAGGAUAUAAUCCCGUCCUAAGUUCAAUUCCCUUCUACCGAAUUUCGCCUAUAAAAAUCGAAGUACUAAAUUUUUUAUUAUUUGAAGACAUUUUUUUAUAUAAAAUCAUCAAUUAUAGAAGGAAAAAUCAAUGGAAAAAGGUUUCGAGAAAAUAAUUUAAUACUUUAUGGAGUAUUUGUGUAAUUUUUGGAACUACAAAGGGUUUAGUAAAAGCACAAGUUUUAGUGUAAAUAACUCUGAAAUGUAUCCCCAUAAAAAAAAUUAUAAAAAAUUAAAAAAUUAAAAAAACUAUGAAAUGUAUAGUACAGUCCCGAUCUCUUGGACCACAGGAGUCCAAGAGAUUGUGGUCACCCACCGUUGGAUAUUAAUCCAAUGGUUCAAAAUGAUAUAUAUAAAUGCAAUAUGACAUAAAUGAUUAUUACCCGAUUCAAGUCAACCGUUGAAUUUACAUCUAACGGUGAGUGACCAUAACUCUCUUGGACUACAGGGGUCCAAGAGAUCAGGACUGAUGUAUAGUAUACCCGUAAGAUUUUAUUCUUCUAUUUUUGUACAUUAAAUACUUGUUUAUCCUUUUUAUAUUUGAAUCUGUUGAGUAAAUUGCCUCAUUAAUUUUUUAUUAACUUUUUUUAAUGUGAGCGUGUCAUUGUUAGCAAAUAAUACCCUAUGAAUUUGAAUGACUUUAUACACUUGAGCCCCAAGUAAUAGACUUUAAACAAACGAUUGUGAUUUUGGAUGGGGGAACCUCCUAAGAGAGUUCUUUUCUAUCCCUCAGACUGGUGAGGACUUCACAAUUUAUCUAGACAAAAAUGGUAAGUAAAGCAAAAUACAUAAUUUGUGGUGAAUAUAACAGACUAAUCCAAGCAGAACUGCCUUAAGCACAAAGCAUAAAAUGAAUUGCUAAAUCUAGACGGGUGUCAAAUUGUUGUACUUUGACUUCUACUUAAAAAUACAAUCAAAAUGAUGUUUUAAGGUCAGGCUGGACUGGAUAUUUCUGCACUGAAAUUGCACGUCAAUAUCUUCAACAAACAUAGAUUAGUUGGAAAUCAAUACCAAUGUUGGUAUUGGCAGAGCUAUAAACAAGUUGAGCCAAUAUGUAGGCUGGAAAAGUGAGCAGAACUACAGGCAAGUACCUGUUCUAGUUGGUUGUGUAUGAUGUGGAAGAUUUCUAGACAAUUUUAAGACAUUGAGGUAUCUUUAUAAACUUGUUGAGGUUUUCAUAUGAUGAAAGACCUGACUUCUAUUUGUGUUAUCUUAUUUGCUUUGUAACACCCCGACUCCAAAAUUAAUGUCUAUUUUAAUUGAUUUAAAUUAAAUUACGAAUUUACCCUUGGGGUAGGGGUAAAUUGGUCAUUUUCUUAUCCGGAAGGAUUUUGGGACCACGAAUGGUAUUUUUGGGUAUGUGGUACUGAGACGAAUUCGUAAACACGCGGUAGGCUUGAAUCGGAGCUGUAACGAAAAUGUUACGAUCAAAACAUUAUCAGUGGCAAACUUGUAAAUAUUUCAAAAAAGUUUGAUAAAAAUCAGAUUUUUUCACUUCAGCUCUCUCUCUCUCUCCUCGCACGCACUCGACUCUCUCUCUCCUCAGUCUCUCUCUCUCCCCGACACCAACACACUCUCUCUCUUCGGUUCUCUCUGCACCGGCCACGGCCAGGCACGCCACCAGUCCCGAUCGAUUCGCCUCGAUGUCCCGAUCAAGUCUAGCCGAUUUUCCCCAUCGGAAACCACGAACUCCGGCCACGAGCUCGACUGGUUUGAACCAGAGCUUUCCGAUCGUCGCGCCGCCUCCUCCGCCGCCCAAACCUGGUGAGUGAGGUAUGGUUUCUCAUCCUUUUUCCGAGUUCUAGCUGAUUGUUGUAUAGGUUUGGACCGAUUUGUUGUCUAGAAAAUCGAUUAGAAAACUUAGGUUUUGGCCGGAUUUCAAAGUAAAAUUCCGGCCAGUUGCCGCCCGAAUUGGACCUUCCCUUAGUUGAAUGAAGUGAUCCUGACCUUGAGUAAAAGCUAGGAUAUGAAGGGUGAGCUCGGGUGGAGUUUUUCCGUUAUCGGAAUUACUCUGCACACCCACGAGCUGCCGGCGCCUGUGGCUGCGCGUGGGCGAGGCUGGUAAAGAUGCAAUUUUACCCGAUGAGAUCCUUAUGUUGUCACGAGCGUAUAGAAAUUCACGGAUCUCAAUUCGGAUGUCGUUUGGCUAUCGAACGAAUUUUCGCAUAUUGUGAGUUAUUGGGUUCGAUAGGUUCCGACCAUUGGAUCUUUUUCAAAUUAAAAUAUGUUGUUCUAGGUAUUCCUAGGACCGUAUGGGACUUCACGGAUUAUGAAUCGGGGCCCUGGAUGUUUCGAUUCAAUAAUGCAAAGUUGGCUGGUUAGCGAUAACCGUAAAAAUCGUGAACGAUUCCUAAACCUGUAAUAGGACCUUAGGAUACCUUCUUCAACGUGCACGUAUUGGGAAUUUGGGGAUUUAAGCAUUUAAUUUGUGAUUUCCACUUCGAUGUAAUUUUAUAUUAAUUAAGGUUCGUAUCUCGAAAUAGGUGUUUCGACUGCACGUACUCAGCAAGCAGGACCCUCACGUGGUCAGGCAGCGUGGGAAUAUUUGUGAGUGGACUUUGUUUUCAAUCAAUGCAUGGUUUUAUUGAUGAAGGAUUUUUGCAUAAUGUUUUUAUGGCUUAUUGAAUAUAUUAUAUUCAUGAGAUGAAUUUGAUGUUGUAUAGCGCGUUGGCAAUAUAUUGUGAGUUUGGCAUUUUGGGUAUUGAGAGUGUAUUUUUAUAAGGGUUGUGGGGAAGUAUAUGUAUAUUAUUCUCUAUAGACGAGAUACUUGGGUUGUUGAAGGGUGUUGUGGAAGAACUUGAUUAUGAUGGGUUGUUGAGAGAAGUUGUAUGAUUAUACUAUGUAAGUACCUUCCCCAAGUAUUAGACUUUUCACACGCGGCGUUGGAUGUUCCGGCGUGUAGGAAGAAUAGGUUACCCGUCUCACUCGUGGCGUUGGAUGUUCCGGCGUGUGAGACACUUUCCAUAUGCGGCGUUGGAUGUUCCAGCGUAUGGAAAGACUCUGUAUAGUGUUUAGGGUCAUCACCCAUGGCGUUGGAUGUUCCGGUGUGUGAUGAUCCAGUCUGCGCACGUAGGACUUAGUUUGGGAGCCACACAUGGCGUUGGAUGUUCCGGUGUGGGAGCUUUAGAGUUUCGUCCCCCGGUUGGACCGCUCAUCCCUAGACGCAGGAUAGCACCUGGAAAUCCUGCGAACUAGUCAAACGAUUCCCUAGUUGGAUUGCUUCCCCGGUACCUAGGUAGUGUGAUGAGUAUAUCGUAUAGCUAGUUAUAGUUAUAUUCUUAUAUAUAUAUAUAUAUAUUUAUAUUUAUAUGUAUAUGUAUAGUUGAGUGAGUGAAGAAUUAGAGUUUUUCAGUGGUUUGGCAAGAGUUGUAAAAUUGAGAGAAUGAGGUUUUUGAAGGAGAUGAUUUGUAUUAUGAAGAGUUUUAAAUGAAUCAUGUUUUGAGUAAUUAAUUUGAAUUGUGAACCUGCAUGACUAGAGCAUUAUUUUUACAUGGUGGGGUUAUUAUAUUAUUUUUAACUGCGAAUUUGGUUUUUGUCCACUCACAUGUUUUCUGUUUUGCGCCCCCCAGCCAGUAGUCGCUCUAGGAAGCGUGCAAGUGGUGUUCGAGGCUCGAACUGUGAAUCUUCCUAGUUAGGAAUUGAGUAAUUUCUUCUACUCAACUGUUCUUGUAAUCUAAAUUCAAUAGAUGCUCUAUUAUCGCCCAUGGUAGAUUUUACUUGUGAGGCCGGAGGCCAUUUUAGUAUGACUUGUUGAAUUAUGAAAGCAUGCUGCUGGUUGGGAUUUUUAUUUGAUGUGCGUUGCAGGUUGAAAUUUUUUGUUAGGUUUGCUUAAAUUACAGGGGAGACUCUGCCAAAAUUUUUGGUAGAAAGUCUCGAUUUCUUAGUAAGUGGGCCCGGCAUCGGGAAGAUGUCGGAACAAAGACGGGGUCCGCUUCGGUUUCCAGGAAAUUCCGGGGCAGGUCCUGUCAUGCUGAACCAAAUUUGUAAGAGAAUUCAAUCCAUUAUAAGUUAUGAUUGAAAUACAUUGUUAUAUUGCAAAAAGAAUCUCGUCUUCUUUUUGGCUGUCUGAGAUUUUGUUUGAGUUGGGUUGCUUCCUAUAGAAGAUUGCUUGCUUGCCUUUGAUAAUUGCAAGAUCAUUUGAUCUUUGAUUUCUUUUGAUCAGUCUAGACUGAUUGUUGAGUUUUUGUUUGAUUGGUUGGUUGGUUGGUUGGGUCCCCUCUCCAAUCCAUGCAUUCUUGUAUUUAUAAGAGAAAAAUGAUGAUGAAGAUUGUUAAGCUCAUAAUUUCAUGCAUAUACAUGCCCUAUUUACUCACUCAUUUUGCUUAGUUUCUUAGAAUUUUAGGCCAAUAGAGCGAAAGAGAAUAAUUCAUGCAAUUCAAGCAUGUUAAGGCCAGAUUGGGAUGAAUGGAAGAAGAGCUUAAAGACAAACUCAUUUUGGCUACAGGCCCUCGCCAGUCCAAUUUCGUAAGUCACAUUGCAAGACUUGUUUCAGCAAACUACACAACUCAAAUGAGGCAUACUUCUGCAUGAAAGUUGUUCCAAUGGUUGUCUAUUAUAACAUAUCCAAAAUUCAGCCCUAUUUGAUAAAUCUGGAGUCCGUCACCUAUCAAACACAGAACCAUGCUCAGGAUGGAUUUUGUCAACGUGCCAAAUGACAUGUGGCUGAAAAGAAGACAUUCUGAACUUCAAGUUUGUGGGCUCAAAGUCAUCAUUUGCUUAAGGGUAGCCCAAUUCGUAAGCCUUGAAGUUGCUGGUCAUGCUAACCUAAGGAUGAGCUAAGUGUGCUUGGUCAUAAUGACAUAAGCAUGAGGUGUUAUUGAUUGUGGGGAAGUUAGGUGAAGCAUAUGCAUUUCUUAUAUUUGAGUGGAGUUUUGCAGCAGCCAAAGGGAAUAAAACAAGAUGAAGUGGGAGCUGCAAUACUAAGCCUAAAGAGAAGAAGAACUGUUUUCAAAUGCAAGUGUGUUUUAGGUGAAAUAGGUGUGGUUAGUGAACUUACUUGUAUAAUCUGAUUCACUUAACCCUUAUACCUAUAAAUAGAGAGUCUCCAAAGAGCUAUGUAGUCAAGAAAAUUCAAAUCCAUCAUUUACACUUACAUUGUACACAAAGAGAGGAAGAGUUAAGAGUCACAAAGGGAGAGAAGAGAAAAGGCAGCAGCUGGGAGGCUUUGGCCUCCUGGCAGCCAUGGAGAUAAAGCUUUUCCAUCUCUAGCAUGAUGUCCCUAUCUUUUUCUCCUCCCUUUGUCUUUUAUUUUCUUCUUGUAUUUCCUUAGCUUUACUUUGUUUUUCUGUCAUUAGUUAAUAAACAUCUUGCUAGUCUUGUAUCAUGGUUUGAGUUUAUAAAGUUUGAUUUCAUUCAUGAAUUCUUCUUCACUGUUUUAAUGGAGCUAUUUUGCAUCCUUUGAUUGAUCACCUGAGGAUUUAUGCAUUUUGCUCUUGUUGGUUGAUUGAUCACCUGAGGAUUUAUGCAUUUUGCUCUUGUUGGGAAGGUUUGGGGAUCAUCUUCAUUCCAUCCAUUAGCAACUCAUAUGAUUUGGUUUCCAGGACGCCUAAUGUAAACACAAUGCUUUGGGGUCCUUGUGAUGUUCAAUGCAAUUUGAUCCAAACUGUUUAGGCCAAAAUUCUACCCGUCAUCCCAUUUUUGUCGAGAGGCCCAUGAACCAAACAUUUGGGCUUUCAUCUAUAGGAAUCAUAAGGAAAAAAACCAAGACACUAGAAAAGCCCAGAUCCUUUUGAACAAAUUACAAAAGCAGCCAUGAUCUGAAAAGAAUAAACUACUAUUAUUUACAAUUAAAGAGCCGAUACACACAGUGUUGGAUAAAUGCCCAACUUCUGAGAAGAUCUCACCACUUGGUCUCUAUCCCAAAAAGCCAAAACAGCAUAUCUUUUUCUCAAGGAAGCGCCAGCGUGAAUUUCUGACUUUGAAAAAGUCAAAAUUUUCAACUAUCACAGAGGAGUUGAUAAGGAGUUAAUGAAGGCAGGUUUUACAGGAAGACUUCUCCAUUGUUUGCAGCCAAAGAAAGAAGAUCAAAAUCCCUUUUUAUAAACAGAGAAACUCUACACUAAAGCAGGUGACCUUUCCAAGAGAUAAGCAGACUACAUUCUCAAGAGAUAAGUAGGGAGCAAGGGAGUUGUUCAACAGGAAAAGCAAACUGACCAUCAUGACAAAUUGUGUAAUAACCCAAACCUUAAUUAAUAUUUAAUUAUUAUUUUAUUAGAAGGAAAUACAAUUUUGCCCUUGGAAUAAUUUAUUAAAGAAAAGUUAACUUUUUGACAGAGAAAGAAUUUGACAAUUCCACACACACCGUUGCGUAAAGCGCGACGAAAUGAGUCCGUAGACACGUAGCAAGCUUAAAUCGGAGCUUUAACGAAGAAAAUAUGGUCAAAAUACGUAGAGGGGCAAAAUGAUAAUUUGCAAAGUCAGAAUUUUAAAACCCCAAUUCUCUCUCUAUCACGAUCUCUUCUUCCCCUGGUUCGAAAACCCCCCAGCCGAACCUCCAUAACUACCCAGCCACUGCCACACCUCGCCCCGACCCACCAGACUGGACCUAAUCGCACCAGCGUCAGCUCCGCCGCCAAGCCCGACCUUCCCUGCCACUCGGCUGUCACGGUUUCGUAGGAAAAAUUGAAAAUUUCAUCCGGUUUAGUUUGAAAUUUCACAGCCGUCGAUCUCCGUAUUCUGACCACCAAAUUGGACGAUAAAGGUAUGGACCCUUACCUAUUUUUCAUGACUUAGCUGUUGGUUGGGUAGGAUUGAACGAUUUCUAGCCUAGGUAGAUCAAACCACAAUCCAAAGCUCGGUCGGUUUUGAGAUUGAAAUUUCGGCCACUUUCGGCUAGUUUUUGGGGUACGUCCAAGAACAAAAGUGGUUCCAAAUAGGUUGUUUUACAUAGAGUAGGAGUUUGGGCCGGUGGUUUGGAGUUUUUCCGACUGCCAGAAAUUUAUCAAGCCACCCACUCACUGCCGGCGCGUGUGGCGGAGCGUGGGCAGUUUAGUGGAGACCACAUUCAGUCCUAGAAUGAUCCUCGUGUUGUCAUGAGCGCGUAGGAAUUCGCAGAUCUCAAUUCGGAUACCGUUUGAGCCUCGAACGGAUUUUGCAUAUUGUAUGAUUUCCGGGUUCAAUACAAUUGAGCCGUUGGAUCGUAAUCAUUUUCAGAUAUCUUAAUCUACACAAUUCCAGGAUCGUUUAGGAUUUGACGGAUCGUGAAUCGGAGUUCCCAAUACUCCAAAAUCGCGAACCCUAGGGCUAGGGUUUUAGAAAUCAUUCGAUUGUAUGAUCGUGAUCAAUCCGACCGUCCGAUCGAGAUCAAACUCUCAGGACAUGUGUCCUGGGUAUAUUGGAACUUCUAGAGGCUUAUGGAUCAUAAUUUUGUGGUCGAACGUGCACAGGGUCUGGCUCGGAUUCCAAAAUGGAAUUUGGGUCGGGUCCUAUCCAAUUGUGUCUUUCCUUCUUUACAAGGAACAAAUAGAGAACAAAAGGAGUUGAUUUUCUUUUUGGGAAAAGCAAGGAAAAGAUCACCAUGGGAACUUAUUAUUGAUGGUUCUUCUCUGCCAGAAUAGAUAGCUUCCCCUUUUUGUGGCAUUUAAAAAGAAAGAUCUUUUGAAAAGAUUUGCCGUCCAUUAUUCAAAGAUUAAAAACCUUACUCCAGCAUUUCCUAUAAAAUAAGAGAGAGGGUGAACAGAUGAAGGACAGCCUAAAAAUCAAUCAAGAUAAAAACUCUCAAAGUCAUAACUGACAAACUCAAAAUGAUCAAUUGAUCUUAAAAGCCUUCAAACACUGAAGUGACCAAAGCUCAUCGAGCCACAAGAAACAAAUCAACUAUAAUUCAAAUCUCUGUUUUCGGUUCAGUCAGAGAAACUGUUUUACAAAGCGAGAUUUCUCUUGUUACAAAUUUGGUUCAGCACAAAGCCAAGUCAAGCAGAGUCAGGAUUUUUCACAAAUAUGAAAACCUCAACAAAUUUACAGAAAGCCUUGGUCAAGCAGGACAGGCACCAUAGUGCAGUUCCAGCUCAGUGACCAUCAAUCGAGCCACUUUUGUUCUCUUCAGACUGGAGAUGCCUCAAUUCAACCCUUUCAACAAGCCUUCCAUGGCUCGAAAUAAAUUGAAGCUCUGCCAAACUCAAAUGUCGGUAUCCAUUUCCAGCUAAAACUCAUCAGUUGAAGGUGUUGACGAUCCAAUCCAACACAGACACAUCCAAUCCAGCCCAGUUCAGAAGCAGCUACCCAGGCAGAAAUUGAAGUCGAACGCUCUGCUGUCUAUUCUGGAGUUGGCUUUUUCUCUUUCUGAGCUUUGUAAUGAGCAGUUCUGCCUAAACAGUUUACUUUCUUUUCAUUUAUUCUGGCCAAAACUACCAAUUUUGUACUGUGAAAAAUUAUGAAGUUCUCACCAGUCUGAGGCGAGAAAAGAACUUAUUUGAGAGAUAUUCCUCACCCAAAUUCACAAUUGCUUGUUUAAAAGUCAGUAACUUGGGGCGCAAGUUAUCUAUUUUUUAGAAGUCUGCUAGGGUUUUGAACUGCUAGCAGUGGCACGCUCACGCACAAAAGAAAGUUGAUUUGUUAACCACUAAUGGUUGUCAAGCCAAUGGGGAACUUUACCAUACCAUCACAGGAUUAAAAUCAAAACGGGUGAACACAAACACCAUGGACUUAUUUGUGAGGAUCGUCAUGAUUGAAUCAAUUUUUUUACUUGCUGCCAUAACGUGAUUAGAACAAUUAGGGUGGAUUCUAAAACCUCACCAUCUUGUCUUAGUUCUUUUCUUUCUUCUUCUUUUGUGUUCUUUUGUGUUCUUUUGUUUUCAUUUCUGUUUUGUGUAGGAAAACUGAAUUGGAUCAUUCAAUCAUCAAUCCCUGUGAAAUUGACCUUGCACUUACAUAUGCUAAACUACCAACGACUCGUGCACUUGCGAGUAUCACAAGUUGAGGAUGCAGCUGAAUCCAUUAUGGUGCAGCGUUGAAUCGACGCAACAAAGAUAUGGAUUUUUUUUUUUAAAAUUUUGGACUAGCCCCCAUUUCAUGCAAAAGUGGCAAAAGUUUUGUCAUUCCAAUGCAUUGAUCGUUUUUGGCACCUGCUCAUCAAUACUCCUGAAUGUCUCCUAAUCAUUCCUUUUGCAACAACUAGACUGAAGCAAGCAAUAAUUUCUAGAUUCCUCCAAUGUUGGUACCAUAAAUAACCAAAUACUCUUGGAAAAGAAAAAAUCCGAUGAUCAUAUAAUAAAUAGCCGUGAUUCUCAAGCAAGUCUAACUUUUACUUUUCAACUUUUAAGGUCAUCAAUUUUCCUUGUAGUUUAGUCACGAACGAUGAGGAAAUAUCCUUAAAAACUUUAACAGCUAAGAAAUUGUGAAUUUUGGACUGAAACUAAUUGAAAUAAUUUGAUUCUUGGAUUAAAUCACCACUUGUGGUAAUUCAUUUACCAAUUUAUCAAAAAAUCAUGAAUUAGUUAAAUCCCCCUUUGGCUAAAUAGUAAGGACUAGUCACCAUUUUUGAUAAACACAGCCCAACGUUUUGUAAAAUGAACCCAAUAAACCAUUUUGGCUAGCUCGUAGGAUUUAAGCCCAAACAAUACCUGUUCGGCUAGAAUUUUAAAAAAAACAAAUUAUUUUAUUAUUAUUCUAUUUUUGAUAAGAUUCUAGAAAUUUGUCUAAUCUCAUACCGGAUGUUUUGGGGGCACUUUUUUAUGCCAUGCGUUCUCUGAUGUGCAUUCAGGGGCUUAAUAAAAUAGUCUCACUUCGUCAUCUUUUUAUCGCACAAACACGUAUUUGCACAUCAAAAUUCAACACUUCGGUAUUUCUCUUCCAAUUUCAACCAUAAUUAGUAUUGUCUCAAAAUGACUUCAAACAUGACUCCAAAAGGCAUCGAUGCAUAGUGACUUGGAACACAAUCCUAAAACGUGUUAGUUGCUUGAUCCGAUCAUCAAUUUCAUUCAGAGUGACGAUUUUUUUUUUUUUCAACAACUCUUCUACAACAUUUGACCAUUUUUUUCUUGUUGAAAGUGACAAGUUUUGUCGACUUACAAAAAAAACUAUGCCAAAAUGGUAAUACUAAAGUCCUUAUCUAACCCCUAUAUCUCUUCAAUUGAGAGAUUUUUGGGGUUGACCCUUGUAGGAAGCAAGUGUUGGGUUCUUCAAAGACUAGGUAGAUAGAUAAUUCAAAAUUUUACCCAAUUUCUUAGGAUUUGGAUUUCAGCAAAGUGUUUGAUAGCAUUCUUGCCCUCCACGAAUGCUGGUCUAAAGAAUUUUAAUCGGGGGAAAGAAAACCCACACUCCAACAAAUAUUGUGUUUGAACAUUAAAGACUAAAAAAAUGUGUUUUAGCUAUAAUAUAGAAGAAGCCAGAGAAAAAAAAUUUAGCCCAGCCCUAUAUAAAUUCCUUUAUUCCGCCCUUGUUUGGGUGGGAUGAGAAAAUUUGUGUUUGAAAGGGGGAAUGGAGGAAGGGCCUGUAAAGAGGGAAGGGGGAUUGGAUUUCAAGGUGAGCGGGGUUAGUUGGAGCCACCGGAGGUGCACAGAUGAUGGGGUAAGGUGAUAUUUUUUUUAUUUUCAAUUUUAUUUUUUUAUAAUGAAUUUUCUAUUUUUAAAAUACCCUUGAAAAUGGAAAGACUAAAAUACCCUUAAAUAUAGAUGGAAAGUUGGUGUUAAAGUGAGAUGACAAAUCAUGAAUUUUGAAAAAUUAAGAUGUCAUUUCUCUUAAUUUUUUCUUUAAAAUGACAACUUGAUUUCAAGAUAUAAGUUCAUGUGACAUUUUAAAAAAUAAUAAUAAUAAAUUGCAUAACAUCAGAUUUUUUUUUUUUUUAUUUAAUGCAAAAAAAGGGAAAUUACAAGCAAAAAUCACGCGAACACGCAGUCCCAAACAAGUUGAAAAAGAAAGGAAUCGGACAAUUCAAAGGCAGACCCGCAUCCCAUAACUCUAUGACUAUUGCACCAAGUAAAAGGAAUGCCAGCAGCACAAGAGAAAUAAUUUCACCAUCAUUAAUAAAGCCAUUAAAAUCUGCCAAAGCAGACAUCAAAUGAGUGUAACCACCUAAUUUCUCACUAGGGGCGCAUAUAUUAUUAAAGUCCCCCAUAAGAAUCCAAGCUUCAGAAGCCGCAUGUUUGAGGCCAAGGAUAUCAAUCCACAGCUGAUGUUGUUUUUGUUUCUAGGGAUAAGCAUAGACAAAAGUAGCUUUCCAAUUUUUUUGGUCAAUAAGAUCUUGAAUGUGGCAGUGAAUGAAACGCUCAUGGGAAUCUAAAAUGGUUAUAUUAAUAAAAGAAGGAUUCCACAAUAAGAAUAUCCAUCCACAAUGACCAAGGGCAUGGAUACAAAAGAAACCAUCAAAACCAAGCCUCUGAGCAAUAACCUCAGCUCAACCCUAGAGGCUCUGGAAUCCAAAAUAUAGAAAACAUUCAAACUAGACGUACUAAUAUAAAAAAGGGCUUGCAAAAUAAAGCCAGGCCAACCACUGCCUUGGCUAUUCCAGAAUAACAUCUUCAUGGAUUGGGGCUAGGGGUGUUACCAACCAAGGGUUCAGUCUCCCUCAGAUACUCUCCAUGCAUCUCAACACUUGGAGCAUAAUUCUCUUCCACUUCCACCUCAUCACGAGUUCUCUUCUUAGGACUCUUGUAAGCGAAACCAGUGAAGGCACUGCUGCCUUCUUGGGAAUGAGCAGGGGCAAUCACAACAGCCCUACCCUUCCCCUUGCUAAUAUGGUCAACUGGAGAAAACUUAACCCCAACAUCACGAGACCCACCUCCUUCAGUAAAUUUGAUUCCCUUAGCAACUUCUUUAAAAGUUCUCCUAUCCCUUUCUUGCAUUUUGGCUUUGCCUUUACGGUUAGCCACAACCGUCCACCCUGGGUCCUAUACCUCAGUGGGCACCUUCUCACCCUGGUCAGAAUUUUCCUCUGCAAAAUAGUCCACAGUUAUAGGCUGUGGGAACACCAGUAUGACAUCAUCAGCUAGUUUUUGUUGCUCUUCAAACUCAAGGACUCAUUCCCUAAGGAACACAUUAGGUUCGUUCUCUAAUAUUUCAACCUGCAUGGCCACAUAUCUUUCCGGCUAAGGAGUGGGAAACCUUUCUCUUGUUACAUGAAUCCAAUUUUCAUUUCACCUGGGAAAAGCCAUCAGAAAGCUUUUGUUUGAAAUUUUGAUAGGGCAAAUGUGAUCGCGCUCCAUCUUCUGGCUACAAUAGAAACAGAUCGCAAAAAGGGCUUCAUAGCUAACAAAUAUUAUGGUUUCCUGGGGAUGCUCACCCAGAACUAGGCAUCUUUUUAGGGGCCUAGUUAGGUCUAACACAAGGUGAGCUCUAACAAACAUAAUCUGUUUACCCUCUGUAGACUGCAGGUCCACACUAAUAGGAUCUCCAAGGAUAGAGACCAAAUCAUAGAGAACCUCAGGGUCUUUGUAAUGGAGGGGCAGAAAGGGAAUUCUGACCCAGCCCACAAUGGAUGUCACAACAGCAUAAAAGGGUGAGAAAUCUGGGGUCCAGCGCUGCAGGUUAAAAAUCUGACCUUGGACAAACCAGGGUCUGUUAUCCAAAACGAAAAAAACAUCAACUUCAGCAUUGAACUCCACCUUAUACCAGUCUCGACCAAUAUGGUCAAUAGAGACCUCACCCUGCAGGUUCUUCCACUCACUCUUGAGCCUAUGCCUGAUAACUCUGCUAUUCACAGGAACUCCAAAGACUUUCCCUACCAAGCAGAAAGUCUCAUUGAGUUUGGACACUAGACGCAAGAGCAGAGGUGGAGACUUUGGUUUCAUUUCUUUCAAUCCUAAAGGUAAAUAUGCCCUUGUGUAACACAGAGGGUUCCACAGAAGACCUACUCCCCAAUCUGGGAGAAGACGUCGGACUCAAACUACGGGAUUUCGCCCGUGAAGAGCUAGCAUUAAGUUGAGCACUCAUGGUUGGAUGAGAGGAAAGUGAGCAAGGGCAACAGGUAUUAAGAGGAAAUUUAGAAGGUGAGAGUACGCGGUGGAGAUAUCUGGUUUUAAUUUUCUUAUAAAUAGCCAGUAUGAAGCUCUCAAAAUGAUUACAAACAUAUCCAAACCUCCAAUGCAUGCAAAGAUGAAGAAAGGGGAAAGAAGUUAUCUGACCAGAGUUGCUAAAAUCAGCAUCGAGCACCUCCCAAAUCAUCAGCAUCAAAAGGGGUUUCCAAUUUCUGGGGUAAUGAUUUAGUCUGAGACGAUCCUGGCCAUUAGAUUGAAAAAAGAAUGCAAGAUUAGAGUGAAUGAAAUUAAUGCAAGAUAGAGGACGAAGCAAAUUGCAAAAAUUGCACUUCCCAAAGGGAGUUCAUCAGCUGAUGCAUCGUAAAUCUCAAACGACUUCUUUUUAGCGCCACCUUGUGGUUUGGAUGAUGGAUCAACAAUCAUUUCGCAACCCAAUCACGGCAAAAGCUUUGGGGAGAAGAACCGAUUCAAAGUCUUCCCAAUACAAACAACCAUAGCUUCAGACCAACUUUUAGAUGUAAUAAUUGAACCCGCAAGCUUCACUUGAUCAUCCCUUUGAGCUUUUUGUCUUGCCUUUUUCUUCCUUCUUUUCCAAUUUCCCACCCUCUCAAGGACUGCCCUAAUCCCCUUUUUGCUCUCGUUCUUCAUUUUUCUGAAUUAAUUCAAUCAAUUCAAAAAAUUCAUUUCCAGGCACUUAUUUUUUCAUGGCUUGGGGGGCAAUGAACUAAGAAUCAAUCCUUGAAAACUAUAAACCAAGUAAAGAAUAAACAAGGCCUCUUUUUAUAUUUUGGCGAACGAAGAGAAGUACAUUGAACAUAAAUUUAUUCCAAAAAAACAGUGAAAUUGUUCCUUGACCUCCCUCUUGAGAUCCACACAUCUUUGCACAUCUAUUAGUGCGGGAUAGAUUCAUCCUAAAGACAACAAUUGCCAAACCACCCUACUUUGCAACUCCAUCAGAGCCGAGUUUUAUGUCCCCUGAAUUCCCAAUUCCUUAAGCAUUGCAGAUAUCGCAUUCCUAAUCGUUAAGGUCUCGGUAAAAAAGCUAACACAAGAGAAGACAAUGAGAAAAUGAUGCUUAUCGAGUCCUUCGAUGCCAUGUUGACAUGAUUACAUAUGAAUCUAAUCAAUCAUUGACACUGAAGUAGUUCCUAUAAACCAACCGUGGCCGCUUAAGUAGGCUAGCUGCAUCUCAGAGGACAAUAACUCAAAGAGCAAGGGAUAAAGGAUUGAGAGUCAUUCUUAUCUUUUGAAAAAUGGACAGAAAUUAGCUUCUUCCACUCCUCAACCAAAAUACAAUACAUUGUACCCUAAUAGAAGCAUUAUAUGCGCACAUUCUACAAAAUCAACUUUCAAGGGUAACCAAAGUCGGGAACCAUAAACAGAAGAAAUUCUAGCGACUCUACGGCAGGCAUUUGUUCUAAUAAGAAAGCAUAUAUAAAUCUAAUUAAAAACAGGUAGGCUGCCGAGUAGAAGAAUAAAAAACUGAAUUUACUUCCUGCAAAAUUUUAGUAAGAUGUGGGAUACAAUUUAAACCUUACUUUAAAGACAAUUUCUAGGGUAGAGGACAGCAUUAUAGUAUUGUGCCAAAUGCAAUCUAAUGCAUAUGAGUGAUGCAGCAUCAGGUGGCUAAAAUAAUUACAUCCUCACCCGUUUCAACAUAUCAGAUCAGACAGACUGGAUAUCUACCUUCCCUUGAUACACACUUAACAAUUCAGGUACUUCGCCAAGAUAUCUGUUCACAAAAAUCUCCAAGAACUGCUUCUCUGUUCGUUUCAGCAGAGAACCCAGAUUCAAGUUCUCAUUUAUGAAACCUUUCAACAACAGAACUUUAACAACAGAGCACCUUGGGAUAAGUCUCCUCUCCAAACUGAGACUGAGGACCACAGGAUAUUUGGCAAUCAUUCCUGACGACCAUCCCAUCUUGUUCACUAAAAGAUCCAUUGCUUGCAUAAGUUUCUUCUCCGAGACAAUCAUACACUGCGGGUUCUUCCUGAAGGCAGAGAGAAAAUCACCCUCAGACCAACCCCAUGUCUUAAGAACUUCGCGACUUCUACUCCAUACCAACUUAUUCUUACCGCACAAUGCACACAGGGCAUUCACUGAAGUUGAUUUUUCUAGAUUAAAUCCCAUUUCCUUAACCUCACCCACAAGUUGACCAAAGUUUUCAGCAUUUGCCAUCAAAACACGGGUACCACGAUUUAGCAAAGAAGAAAUGCAUGGUUGAGGCAUGCCCAAUUCUCUCAAAAGCCCAAUAUUUGGCACCACAUGCUUGCAGUGACCUUCCAAGAAAAUCCAUGAGUUGCGUUUUAAAACAGCAACAACAUUUUUCUCAGAGAGCAUACUCCUGAGGAAGUUAUAAGUGGGCAAAAUCCGAUUUCUCAAGCUGGCUGACAAAAGGUGUGGAUUAAAAGCCAGAGUUUUUGCAAAGUCCACUUUUGAAAUUUCAAGAGAGCUGAAAAACUCAAGCUUUGGCAAAAGGGUUUUCUCAGGAUCAGCUGAAAGAAGUUGUGGAUGUGACCUAAUAAGCUUUGAUAUCUGGGUUUGAGAUGCUCCAUGGUUUCUCAGAAGCUCUAAAACGGAGUCUGCUCUUUCUGGUGACUGCAACUUGACCCACUUAGAAGCUAAAAUCGCUCCUUCUGGGGACAAUCCACAAGUGUUUAUGAGGUAAGUGACUGUGAAAUUGUGUUGGUUUUCUGAGAUUUCAGAGGUGAUGUGUCUGCAGAGCAACUGACUCUGAAGAGAAAAAUGUGAGGGUUUUGGAUCUCCAACCAACACUCUGUUUGUUUUGGAAGCAAAUGUACAAGAAAAUAUUGAGUGAACCAAUCUGAAAGUCUUCAAAUUGCAGAGUUGAAUCAUGUUAGAG
rnacentral:lncRNA from 1 species